CAUCCAACUGUUGAUUUGAUCCAAAGGCAGCGUCCCGUGCAGUGCUACAGGCAGCACGACUGGUUCCCUCUUCCGUAGACUGUGCACUGAAAGAAAAACAGUCUAAGGUACAGAAAGGAGGGAUACAAGACCUGUGUCUGUAUUAUUUGUUUUCUGUGCAGAAAUACACCAGUUUGAGUUAUAUGUUGGUGUCGUCCCGUCAUUGGUGCACAACUAAAACUACACAACGCAGAGCGAAAUCGGCUACACCAGGACGGCGCCAAACCACCGCUUUUUUCCGACACCAUCUGAGUAGUUCCAGACGACUGCCACAUUGAGACCAGGGCCCAGGCCACCGGCUACGCCAGCCCAAAGCAACUCCCGCAAGCUCUGAAGGGGAGUGAAGCUGUCCUCAUUCCUGCUAGAGUGCCCAGGAAGCCCGGGAUGACACGGGAUGACCUCUUUGAUACCAACGCCUCCAUCGUGGCCACCCUGGCUGAUGCCUGUGCCCACAACUGCCCUUAUGCGAUGAUAUGUAUAAUUACUAUUUGCCAAUGGGUAAUGCAUAAGAACACAACGUUAUGCUGGUUCAAUUGCUGGAAUUCGAUUUUUCUCAAUGUGAAAUAUAACGUGAACCAUUAAUACUUUGAAAAUGGACACAAAGUUCAGAUAUUAUGUUUGUGCUUGUAAAAGAAAAUAAAAUAGGAUGUUUAUGA